rnacentral:sRNA from 1 species
GAUAUUUACAAUGUCUUGUAUGGAACUCCUGAGUUAGAACUUCUGCUCCAGUCUCCGCUUGGGUCAAUUUUU